rnacentral:lncRNA from 1 species
GGGAGGUUCCUUACAAUUCAGGUCCUUGUUGAAUUACUCCUAAGGGUUAUAUUGCUCAGGGAUGAGGGUGUGAGUCUUAGUUGUCUUAACCUCUUGAUCUUCACAUCUUUUUACUAGGAAUGCUAGGAAUUGUAUGAACUGGUAAUUAGGGACAGACUUAUUUACCGAGGGAUCGGGUUUAAGUGAUUUAGUGAGGGACGUUGGCAUUAAUGAAUAAAGAAGAAUGCUUAUAUACAUGAGAGGGAACUUGGUGAAGUCAAACCCCAACAACAUAAUCAUCUCAUAUAAAUCAACCUCCAUUCAUCUUUGCGCUCUUUUUCCACUGAUCACUUUUACUUUGCUUUAUUUUAUUAAUUUUCCAAUACAAUCCAUGAUCUCUUUUAUUUUAAGUCUUAAUUAAUCUUGUUUUCACACAACUGUUCAGCGCCGAGAGUCCUCUGGGAUAUGAUACUUGGUCUUACCAUUUUAUAUUACUUGUGCGACUCGGUACACUUACGGAUUUGCCCCAACAAGUUUUUUGCACCGUUGCCAGGGAUUCACGGUUUAAGCUAUUCAAUGCAAAGAAGCCAAAUCAAGACAGCACAUGGUAGAAGCCAAAAAAAUGAAUGAAAACUACAAGACAAAUGAUGAAAAUAGAACCUAAAAAUCAAGAAACUUGGCAUAAAAACAAGGAGGCAGCAAUUUAAUGAUUUUAUGAAGACAAAACAGCAAGAAAAAUGGAGUCAAAACAGUGGCACAAAAUGAACAAGACAGCAAAGAAAAUUAACACAACUAAGAAGCAAAAUCACAUCAACAUACUAGAUAUGCAUGAAGAGCAAGAUCUAAUUAAUGCUGGAAAUAAUUUUGGCAAACCUCAAAC